ACUCUGCCUUGUCUCAUGCAAGAGGGUCUCGGACGUCAGAGCUCUGGACUUUGACGCCAGGUCAUACACCCCUGACGAGGUGACGUUCAACAUCAGUCGGCGGACUAAGACCUCUAUCAAAUCGGUAUCCUACCCGAGCUUUCCUGCCUCUCCGGCAUUGUGUCCAGUGGCUUGCCUACGCGAAUACGGAAAUCGCACCAAACUUCACCGUACCGCUUUCUCUCCACAGCUGAUUUUAUCCUUUCGUCCUCCUUUCCACCCGGUCUCCAGCACCACAUUAUCACGCUGGGUGAAGUGGUUAUUGACCCAGGCGGGCACUGAUACCGCGGUCUUUG